rnacentral:rRNA from 1 species
GUGUGAAGAAGGCCUUCGGGUUGUAAAGCACUUUCAGUCGUGAGGAAGGCGGUGUAGUUAAUAGCUGCAUCGUUUGACGUUAGCGACAGAAGAAGCACCGGCUAACUCCGUGCCAGCAGCCGCGGUAAUACGGAGGGUGCGAGCGUUAAUCGGAAUUACUGGGCGUAAAGCGCAUGCAGGUGGUUUGUUAAGUCAGAUGUGAAAGCCCGGGGCUCAACCUCGGAAUUGCAUUUGAAACUGGCAGACUAG